GGCGAACGGGUGAGUAACGCGUUUGUAACCUACCCCUGACAGGGGGAUAGCUCCCGGAAACGGGAAUUAAUACCCCAUAACAUUCAUUGAGGGCAUCCUUAAUGAAUUAAAGCUCCGGCGGUCAGGGAUGGGCAUGCGUGGUAUUAGCUAGUUGGUGAGGUAACGGCUCACCAAGGCUACGAUAUCUAGGGGGUCUGAGAGGAUGAUCCCCCACACUGGUACUGAGACACGGACCAGACUCCUACGGGAGGCAGCAGUGAGGAAUAUUGGGCAAUGGACGCAAGUCUGACCCAGCCAUGCCGCGUGCAGGAUGAAGGCCCUAUGGGUUGUAAACUGCUUUUGUACAGGAGGAAAUCCCUGAACGAGUUUCAGGGUUGACAGUACUGUGCGAAUAAGCAUCGGCUAACUCCGUGCCAGCAGCCGCGGUAAUACGGAGGAUGCAAGCGUUAUCCGGAUUUAUUGGGUUUGAAGGGUGCGUAGGCGGGAUAAUAAGUCAGAGGUGAAAUCUCCCGGCUUAACCGGGAAACUGUCUUUGAUACUGUUAUCCUUGAGUAUAGUUGAGGUGGGCGGAAUGUGUAAUGUAGCGGUGAAAUGCAUAGAUAUUACACAGAACACCGAUUGCGAAGGCAGCUCACUAAACUAAAACUGACGCUGAGGCACGAAAGCGUGGGUAGCGAACAGGAUUAGAUACCCUGGUAGUCUACGCCGUAAACGAUGAAUACUCGAUGUGUGCGACAUAUUGUACGCGUCUGAGCGAAAGCAUUAAGUAUUUCCACCUGGGGAGUACGAUCGCAAGA
rnacentral:rRNA from 1 species